GAUUGAUGAUGAGCUGGCAUAUAUUCUGAAUCUUAAGUUUAAUUAUUACUACUGUAGCUCUAAAAUUACUGUGAUACCUA
ensembl:snoRNA